CUCCUUAGCAUCCUCAAGGUCUCCACCUGGCAUAGGAUGGCAGCCAUCAUAUAUAUUGUCAGGAAGAGGGCAGAGUGUUGGAACGACUACCUGAGUCACUGAAGAGAUUAUAAUCACAGAACGUCAGAAGCAGAAAUAGAAGGAUUGCAAGUUAGAGGGUUGCCAGCAUUCAAUUUGUCCGUGAUGUAUUUUGUUCAGAGCCCAGAGAUUACUGCCAUUAACUGUCUACUUUCAUGAUUUGUGUGUU
rnacentral:lncRNA from 1 species